rnacentral:rRNA from 1 species
GACGAACGCUGGCGGCGUGCUUAACACAUGCAAGUCGAACGGAAAGGCCCUGCUUUUGUGGGGUGCUCGAGUGGCGAACGGGUGAGUAACACGUGAGUAACCUGCCCUUGACUUUGGGAUAACUUCAGGAAACUGGGGCUAAUACCGGAUAGGAGCUCCUGCUGCAUGGUGGGGGUUAGAAAGUUUCGGCGGUUGGGGAUGGACUCGCGGCUUAUCAGCUUGUUGGUGGGGUAGUGGCUUACCAAGGCUUUGACGGGUAGCCGGCCUGAGAGGGUGACCGGCCACAUUGGGACUGAGAUACGGCCCAGACUCCUACGGGAGGCAGAAGUGGGGAAUAUUGCACAAUGGGCGGAAGCCUGAUGCAGCAACGCCGCGUGCGGGAUGACGGCCUUCGGGUUGUAAACCGCUUUCGCCUGUGACGAAGCGUGAGUGACGGUAAUGGGUAAAGAAGCACCGGCUAACUACGUG